rnacentral:siRNA from 1 species
CGGGCUAGAAGCGACGCAUGCGC